rnacentral:rRNA from 1 species
GACGUAGGGCGCGAGCGUUGUCCGGAUUUAUUGGGCGUAAAGAGCUCGUAGGCGGCUUGUCGCGUCGACUGUGAAACCCCGCGGCUCAACUGCGGGUCUGCAGUCGAUACGGGCAGGCUAGAGUUCGGUAGGGGAGACUGGAAUUCCUGGUGUAGCGGUGAAAUGCGCAGAUAUCAGGAGGAACACCGGUGGCGAAGGCGGGUCUCUGGGCCGAUACUGACGCUGAGGAGCGAAAGCGUGGGGAGCGAACAGG